rnacentral:rRNA from 1 species
AGAAGUGGGGGGGUAGUUGGGUCGGUGAUGGGUGGGGUGGGUUCGGUAAUCGGAAAUACGUGGCAGAAAGGGGUCGCGGGGGGUUUGGUAAUGCCGGGGUGUAAGCCGUGUGCGUAGGCUGGGAGCUGCGGUUGGGUCGGCCAGGCUGGAGGACGGCAGAGGGGGGUGGAAUUCCACGUGUAGCAAUGAAAUGCGUGAAGAUGUGGAGGAACACCAAUGGCGAAGGCAGCCCCCUGGGUCGAUACUGACGCUCAUGCACGAAAGCGUGGGUAGCAAACAGGAUUAGAUACCCGAGUAGUC